UAGUCAUAUGCUUGUCUCAAAGAUUAAGCCAUGCAUGUCUAAGUAUAAACAACUUUAUACUGUGAAACUGCGAACGGCUCAUUAUAUCAGUAAUAAUUUAUUUGAUGGUUCCUUACUACACGGAUAACUGUAGUAAUUCUAGAGCUAAUACGCGCGUAAAAUCCCGACUCUUGCGGGGAGGGAUGUAUUUAUUAGAUAAAAAGCCAGCGCGGGUUCUGCCCGGUUUUGUGGUGAAUCAUAGUAACUUUUCGAAUCGCAUGGCUUCACGCCGGCGAUAGUUCAUUCAAAUUUCUGCCCUAUCAGCUUUCGACGGUAGUGUAGUGGACUACCGUGGCAUUAACGGGUAACGGAGAAUUAGGGUUCGAUUCCGGAGAGGGAGCCUGAGAAACGGCUACCACAUCCAAGGAAGGCAGCAGGCGCGCAAAUUACCCAAUUCUGACACAGAGAGGUAGUGACAAAAAAUAACAAUACCUGGCUUCUUUAGGUCGGGUAAUUGCAAUGAGUACAAUUUAAAUCCCUUAACGAGGAUCCAUU
rnacentral:rRNA from 1 species